CAGCAGCCGCGGUAAUACGUAGGGUGCGAGCGUUAAUCGGAAUUACUGGGCGUAAAGCGUGCGCAGGCGGUUCGUUAAGACAGAUGUGAAAUCCCCGGGCUUAACCUGGGGACUGCGCUUAAUACAGGCAGUCUAGAGUGAGGAAGAGGGUUGUGGAAUUCCCAGUGUAGAGGUGAAAUUCGUAGAUAUUGGCAAGAACACCAGUGGCGAAGGCGGCUCACUGGACCGACACCGACGCUGAGGCGCGAAAGCGUGGGGAGCAAACAGGAUUAGAUACCCCCGUAGUCCCUGUCUCUUAUAC
rnacentral:rRNA from 1 species